AAAAUAUAUUACAAUCAUUCCUAAAAUAAAAUAAAAAGCAUUUUAAUGCAAGACAAAAAAGCAGAGUCAUUGCUUAUUACAUAUAAAGUCGCACUAUAAUGACAAGCCUAGAGUAAAUGAAAGUGUACGUAUCAAGGUUGAAGUUGAAUCCUAAAUAUUGCCCACAAAAUAAUGCCAUAUGUUCUUCUUUUGCUCACUCCAUAACCAAUAAAAGUUAUGUACCAAUAUUGUGUAUGAACAAAUAACUCUUGUAAAAACACUAAUAACAUGAAGAAAAAGUCGAUAAAAAGUAAGAAAAUAAAUUCCUGCAAAAAAUUUCAAAUGAAAGGAGAAGAAAUAGUCAAAGAAGAAGAGAUGAGAGUGAUGCAAAAGAGAAAAUAUGAUUCACUAUUUAUAAUAACCAAAAUAAAAGUUGUAACUUAUAUUGAGUAUAGGAAAAGAAAAUAUAACGUAUAUUGAGUAAUUGUAAUAGAAAGUAUAAUAAGUAUAUUAAUAAUUGUAAUGAACCUAAUUAUGGGCAGAAUGGAUAACUGAUGUAAUUAAUACUAUAGAAAUAAUUAAUUUCCAAUUAUUAAAUAAUUAAAAUAAAAAGAAUGAAAGGAAAAAUGAACUACUCCCUUAAUUAACUGACCCAAAACCCCCUAACCUUGGUCAAAAAUGAACCUAACUAACUAAUUAAAGUCUCAAGCAUAAAAUAAUUAUAAAAGAACGAUGGAUUGAACUAAUUAACUACAAAAAUUCAAACCCAAUUAAUGCCAACACAUGAGACUUAAUUAUCAGAUAACAAUCAAUAUCUUAACCACAAAAUGAAUCAAACUGAAUCAAUAUUAUUUUUAAGCAAAAUGAAAAACUUAAAACUAAAUCUAAUCAGCUACUUAGCGCAAAUGAAAAUUAAAGGCUUAUAAUAUACAUAAUCAAGAACUAAAUCAAAGUAAUCACUCAAUUAAUAAAAAACGCAAGCCAAAUUAGACGAAGGACUAACAAGAACAGAAAAUCAAAAGUAAAAGAAACCUUACUGUUUUACUUGACAUUAAGAACCUAGCACUGUAUUUUAAAAGUUACGAAAUAAGUCGCAGGCUCGGACAAUUGGAAAUUGACUUGAAUCCCAGUAUUGAACCACCUUGAAUGGAUUUGAUGAUUCCAGAAGCCUUGGAUAUGUUUGAGGGCCGUUAUUUGCAAAUUUGGACUAAGGAGGUUGAGAGCAAUUCACGGUGUAAGUUUGGACCAAUUUGAGCAAUGUCGCCGCCAUGGGCGGCGAAGCCGACGACAAUAAUUUCGAUCAUUCGACGGCUUCUGGUGGGAUUUGAAAAGAAAUAGUGGGGGAAAUUGUGACGAGGACACUGAGGUGGUAUAGGGGCGUUAUUUUAAGAGCCAUCGGAGAAGGUUGUGUCUUCUCCAGGGACAGCGUUUGGUGAGGAUAUAGAGGUGGCUAGGGUUUUUAUUAGGGCUUUGAAAUUGGGGAUGAUUGAAGGGACUGAGAGGGGAGGGGGGGGUAAUUUCGUACACUUUUAUAUGAAAUGGACCCCAGUAUAGGACCGUUUGAUCAAC
rnacentral:lncRNA from 1 species